rnacentral:rRNA from 1 species
ACUAAGCGUACACGGUGGAUGCCCUGGCAGUCAGAGGCGAUGAAGGACGUGCUAAUCUGCGAAAAGCGUCGGUAAGGUGAUAUGAACCGUUAUAACCGGCGAUGUCCGAAUGGGGAAACCCAGUGCAAUUCGUUGCACUAUCGUUAACUGAAUACAUAGGUUAACGAGGCGAACCGGGGGAACUGAAACAUCUAAGUACCCCGAGGAAAAGAAAUCAACCGAGAUUCCCCCAGUAGCGGCGAGCGAACGGGGAGCAGCCCAGAGUCUGAAUCAGCUUGUGUGUUAGUGGAACGGUCUGGAAAGUCCGACGGUACAGGGUGAUAGUCCCGUACACCAAAAUGCACAGGCUGUGAACUCGAAGAGUAGGGCGGGACACGUGGUAUCCUGUCUGAAUAUGGGGGGACCAUCCUCCAAGGCUAAAUACUCCUGACUGACCGAUAGUGAACCAGUACCGUGAGGGAAAGGCGAAAAGAACCCCGGCGAGGGGAGUGAAAAAGAACCUGAAACCGUGUACGUACAAGCAGUGGGAGCACCUUCGGGUGUGACUGCGUACCUUUUGUAUAAUGGGUCAGCGACUUAUAUUCUGUAGCAAGGUUAACCGUAUAGGGGAGCCGCAGGGAAACCGAGUCUUAACUGGGCGUUAAGUUGCAGGGUAUAGACCCGAAACCCGGUGAUCUAGCCAUGGGCAGGUUGAAGGUUGGGUAACACUAACUGGAGGACCGAACCGACUAAUGUUGAAAAAUUAGCGGAUGACUUGUGGCUGGGGGUGAAAGGCCAAUCAAACCGGGAGAUAGCUGGUUCUCCCCGAAAGCUAUUUAGGUAGCGCCUCGUGAACUCAUCUUCGGGGGUAGAGCACUGUUUCGGCUAGGGGGUCAUCCCGACUUACCAACCCGAUGCAAACUACGAAUACCGAAGAAUGUUAUCACGGGAGACACACGGCGGGUGCUAACGUCCGUCGUGAAGAGGGAAACAACCCAGACCGCCAGCUAAGGUCCCAAAGUCAUGGUUAAGUGGGAAACGAUGUGGGAAGGCACAGACAGCCAGGAUGUUGGCUUAGAAGCAGCCAUCAUUUAAAGAAAGCGUAAUAGCUCACUGGUCGAGUCGGCCUGCGCGGAAGAUGUAACGGGGCUAAACCAUGCACCGAAGCUGCGGCAGCGACACUAUGUGUUGUUGGGUAGGGGAGCGUUCUGUAAGCCUGCGAAGGUGUGCUGUGAGGCAUGCUGGAGGUAUCAGAAGUGCGAAUGCUGACAUAAGUAACGAUAAAGCGGGUGAAAAGCCCGCUCGCCGGAAGACCAAGGGUUCCUGUCCAACGUUAAUCGGGGCAGGGUGAGUCGACCCCUAAGGCGAGGCCGAAAGGCGUAGUCGAUGGGAAACAGGUUAAUAUUCCUGUACUUGGUGUUACUGCGAAGGGGGGACGGAGAAGGCUAUGUUAGCCGGGCGACGGUUGUCCCGGUUUAAGCAUGUAGGCUGGUUAUCCAGGCAAAUCCGGAUAAUCAAGGCUGAGGUGUGAUGACGAGGCACUACGGUGCUGAAGUAACAAAUGCCCUGCUUCCAGGAAAAGCCUCUAAGCAUCAGGUAACAUCAAAUCGUACCCCAAACCGACACAGGUGGUCAGGUAGAGAAUACCAAGGCGCUUGAGAGAACUCGGGUGAAGGAACUAGGCAAAAUGGUGCCGUAACUUCGGGAGAAGGCACGCUGGUGUGUAGGUGAAGUCCCUGCGGAUGGAGCUGAGACCAGUCGAAGAUACCAGCUGGCUGCAACUGUUUAUUAAAAACACAGCACUGUGCAAACACGAAAGUGGACGUAUACGGUGUGACGCCUGCCCGGUGCCGGAAGGUUAAUUGAUGGGGUUAUCCGUAAGGAGAAGCUCUUGAUCGAAGCCCCGGUAAACGGCGGCCGUAACUAUAACGGUCCUAAGGUAGCGAAAUUCCUUGUCGGGUAAGUUCCGACCUGCACGAAUGGCGUAAUGAUGGCCAGGCUGUCUCCACCCGAGACUCAGUGAAAUUGAACUCGCUGUGAAGAUGCAGUGUACCCGCGGCAAGACGGAAAGACCCCGUGAACCUUUACUAUAGCUUGACACUGAACAUUGAGCCUUGAUGUGUAGGAUAGGUGGGAGGCUUUGAAGCGUGGACGCCAGUCUGCGUGGAGCCAACCUUGAAAUACCACCCUUUAAUGUUUGAUGUUCUAACGUUGGCCCCUGACCGGGGUUGCGGACAGUGUCUGGUGGGUAGUUUGACUGGGGCGGUCUCCUCCCAAAGCGUAACGGAGGAGCACGAAGGUUAGCUAAUCCUGGUCGGACAUCAGGAGGUUAGUGCAAUGGCAUAAGCUAGCUUGACUGCGAGCGUGACGGCGCGAGCAGGUGCGAAAGCAGGUCAUAGUGAUCCGGUGGUUCUGAAUGGAAGGGCCAUCGCUCAACGGAUAAAAGGUACUCCGGGGAUAACAGGCUGAUACCGCCCAAGAGUUCAUAUCGACGGCGGUGUUUGGCACCUCGAUGUCGGCUCAUCACAUCCUGGGGCUGAAGUAGGUCCCAAGGGUAUGGCUGUUCGCCAUUUAAAGUGGUACGCGAGCUGGGUUUAGAACGUCGUGAGACAGUUCGGUCCCUAUCUGCCGUGGGCGCUGGAGAAUUGAGGGGGGCUGCUCCUAGUACGAGAGGACCGGAGUGGACGCAUCACUGGUGUUCGGGUUGUCAUGCCAAUGGCACUGCCCGGUAGCUAAAUGCGGAAGAGAUAAGUGCUGAAAGCAUCUAAGCACGAAACUUGCCCCGAGAUGAGUUCUCCCUGAGACUUUAAGUCUCCUGAAGGAACGUUGAAGACGACGACGUUGAUAGGCCGGGUGUGUAAGCGCAGCGAUGCGUUGAGCUAACCGGUACUAAUGAACCGUGAGGCUUAACC